rnacentral:rRNA from 1 species
CAGGCCUAACACAUGCAAGUCGAGCGGAUGAGAAGAGCUUGCUCUUCGAUUCAGCGGCGGACGGGUGAGUAAUGCCUAGGAAUCUGCCUGGUAGUGGGGGACAACGUUUCGAAAGGAACGCUAAUACCGCAUACGUCCUACGGGAGAAAGCAGGGGACCUUCGGGCCUUGCGCUAUCAGAUGAGCCUAGGUCGGAUUAGCUAGUUGGUGAGGUAAUGGCUCACCAAGGCGACGAUCCGUAACUGGUCUGAGAGGAUGAUCAGUCACACUGGAACUGAGACACGGUCCAGACUCCUACGGGAGGCAGCAGUGGGGAAUAUUGGACAAUGGGCGAAAGCCUGAUCCAGCCAUGCCGCGUGUGUGAAGAAGGUCUUCGGAUUGUAAAGCACUUUAAGUUGGGAGGAAGGGCAUUAACCUAAUACGUUAGUGUUUUGACGUUACCGACAGAAUAAGCACCGGCUAACUCUGUGCCAGCAGCCGCGGUAAUACAGAGGGUGCAAGCGUUAAUCGGAAUUACUGGGCGUAAAGCGCGCGUAGGUGGUUUGUUAAGUUGAAUGUGAAAGCCCCGGGCUCAGCCUGGGAACUGCAUCCAAAACUGGCAAGCUAGAGUACGGUAGAGGGUGGUGGAAUUUCCUGUGUAGCGGUGAAAUGCGUAGAUAUAGGAAGGAACACCAGUGGCGAAGGCGACCACCUGGACUGAUACUGACACUGAGGUGCGAAAGCGUGGGGAGCAAACA